GAUAUCAAAACCACACUUUCGCUCCCUGACCUAUAUAGGCCUCUGCUAUGGGGGUGAUGGCCAGUCCUGGUGUCUGAGUGGUU
ensembl:snoRNA